rnacentral:rRNA from 1 species
GACGAACGCUGGCGGCGUGCUUAACACAUGCAAGUCGAACGGAAAGGCCCUGCUUUUGUGGGGUGCUCGAGUGGCGAACGGGUGAGUAACACGUGAGUAACCUGCCCUUGACUUUGGGAUAACUUCAGGAAACUGGGGCUAAUACCGGAUAGGAGCUCCUGCUGCAUGGUGGGGGUUGGAAAGUUUCGGCGGUUGGGGAUGGACUCGCGGCUUAUCAGCUUGUUGGUGGGGUAGUGGCUUACCAAGGCUUUGACGGGUAGCCGGCCUGAGAGGGUGACCGGCCACAUUGGGCCUGAGAUGCCGCCCAGACUCCUACGGGAGGCAGCAGUGGGGAAUAUUGCACAAUGGGCGGAAGCCUGAUGCAGCAACGCCGCGUGCGGGAUGACGGCCUUCGGGUUGUAAACCGCUUUCGCCUGUGACGAAGCGUGAGUGACGGUAAUGGGUAAAGAAGCACCGGCUAACUACGUG